rnacentral:lncRNA from 1 species
GUGUUAUAAUAAUUUAUUUGGUUACAUACAACUUAUUAUACAUAUAACAAACAUUACUUGUUAAAUGAUACGACGAGUCACAUUAUAAGGUAUACAAAGGCGAAUGACUCCUGGUCCACACCCAAUACACUGUACAUCAAUGUUAUGUUAAAUACAUUAGUUUGUCAAGAUAUAAUAUCUUUUCUGAGGUGUUUAGCUCACUUGUAUUCC